rnacentral:rRNA from 1 species
UACGUAGGGUGCAAGCGUUUGUCCGGAAUUAUUGGGCGUAAAGAGCUCGUAGGCGGUUUGUUGCGUCGGCUGUGAAAACCUGAGGCUCAACCUCAGGCCUGCAGUCGAUACGAGCAGACUAGAGUGUUGCAGGGGAGACUGGAAUUCCUGGUGUAGCGGUGAAAUGCGCAGAUAUCAGGAGGAACACCGAUGGCGAAGGCAGGUCUCUGGGCAUUAACUGACGCUGAGGAGCGAAAGCAUGGGGAGCGAACAGG